GCACGUCUGCCUGGGUGUCACAAA
rnacentral:siRNA from 1 species